AUGCGUAGGGCACAAACAUUAUCCGGAUUUACUGGGCGUAAAGAGAUGCGUAGGUGUCUCUGUAAGUCUUUUGUCAAAUACCGCGGCUCAACCGCGGAAAGGCACUGGAAACUACAGAGAUUGAAGUAUAGAGGGGUGAACGGAAUUCCCGGUGGAGUGGUGAAAUACGUUGAUAUCGGGAGGAACACCAGAGGCGAAGGCGGUUCACUGGCUAUAUUUUGACACUGAGGCUCGAAAGCGUGGGUAGCAAAACGGAUUAGAUACCCGUGUGGUCCACGCCGUAAACGAUGGAUGCUAGCUGUUUGGUACAACGAUUAUUUUUCUUCGGAAUUAUUAUUGGAGUAUUGAGUGGCGCAGCUAACGCGUUAAGCAUCCCGCCUGGGGAGUACGGCCGCAAGGCUAAAACUCAAAUGAAUUGGCGGGGACCCGCACAAGCGGAGGAGCGCGUGGUUUAAUUCGAUGGUAAUCGUAGAAUCUUACCAGGGUUUGACAUGUUGAUCGUACUUUAUCGAAAGACUAAGGUCAGUUCGGCUGGAUCAAACACAGGUGCUGCAUGGCCGUCGUCAGCUCGUGUCGUGAGAUGUAGGGUUAAGUCCCGAAACGAGCGCAACCCCUAUCCCAUGUUACAAGUGUCUUGGGAGACUGCAGCGGUAAAACGUUAAGGAAGGAGGGGAUGACGUCUGGUCCGCAUGGCCCUUAUACCCUGGGCGACACACGCGCUCCAAUGGUCGGUACAACAGGCUGCCAAGCCGUAAGGCGGAGCAAAUCCUUUAAAACCGAUCUCAGUCCGGAUUGAGGUCUGGAACUCGACCUCAUGAAGUUGGAUUCGCUAGUAAUCGCAGAUCAGCCAUGCUGCGGUGAAUACGUUCUCGGGUCUUGCACACACCGCCCGUCAAGUCAUGGAAGCAGGUAAUACUUGAAGGCGUUUAGUUCGCUUGCGAACCGAACGACGAGGGUAAUGCUUGUGACUGGGACU
rnacentral:rRNA from 1 species